rnacentral:rRNA from 1 species
GGGGAAUAUUGGACAAUGGGCGCAAGCCUGAUCCAGCCAUGCCGCGUGUGUGAAGAAGGCCUUCGGGUUGUAAAGCACUUUUGUAUGGGAAGAAAAGCACUCGGUUAAUACCCGGGUGUCAUGACGGUACCGUAAGAAUAAGCCACGGCUAACUACGUGCCAGCAGCCGCGGUAAUACGUAGGUGGCAAGCGUUGUCCGGAUUUACUGGGCGUAAAGGGCGCGCAGGCGGUCUGUUUAGUCUAGGGUGAAAGCUCCCGGCUCAACUGGGAGAGGUCCUUGGAUACUGGCAGACUCGAGGGAGGCAGAGGAAAGUGGAAUUCCCGGUGUAGUGGUGAUAUGCGUAGAUAUCGGGAGGAACACCAGUGGCGAAGGCGGCUUUCUGGGCCUUACCUGACGCUGAGGCGCGAAAGCGUGGGGAGCGAA